rnacentral:rRNA from 1 species
UACGUAGGGUGGGAGCGUUAAUCGGAAUUACUGGGCGUAAAGCGUGCGCAGGCGGCUUUGCAAGACAGAUGUGAAAUCCCCGGGCUCAACCUGGGAACUGCAUUUGUGACUGCAAGGCUAGAGUACGGCAGAGGGGGAUGGAAUUCCGCGUGUAGCAGUGAAAUGCGUAGAUAUGCGGAGGAACACCAAUGGCGAAGGCAAUCCCCUGGGCCUGUACUGACGCUCAUGCACGAAAGCGUGGGGAGCAAACAGG